rnacentral:rRNA from 1 species
AUACGAAGGGGGCUAGCGUUGCUCGGAAUGACUGGGCGUAAAGGGCGCGUAGGCGGUUUGGACAGUCAGAUGUCGAAAUCCCCGGGCUUAACCUGGGAACUGCAUUUGAUACGUCCAGACUAGAGUUCGAGAGAGGGUUGUGGAAUUCCCAGUGUAGAGGUGAAAUUCGUAGAUAUUGGGAAGAACACCGGUGGCGAAGGCGGCAACCUGGCUCGGUACUGACGCUGAGGCGCGAAAGCGUGGGGAGGC